AUACGUAGGUGGCAAGCGUUGUCCGGAAUUAUUGGGCGUAAAGCGCGCGCAGGCGGUCCUUUAAGUCUGAUGUGAAAGCCCACGGCUCAACCGUGGAGGGUCAUUGGAAACUGGAGGACCUGAGUGCAGAAGAGGAAAGUGGAAUUCCAAGUGUAGCGGUGAAAUGCGUAGAGAUUUGGAGGAGCACCAGUGGCGAAGGCGACUUUCUGGUCUGUAACUGACGCUGAGGCGCGAAAGCGUGGGGAGCAAACAGGAUUAGAUACCCUGGUAGUCCACGCCGUAAACGAUGAGUGCUAAGUGUUAGGGGGUUUCCGCCCCUUAGUGCUGCAGCUAACGCAUUAAGCACUCCGCCUGGGGAGUACGGUCGCAAGACUGAAACUCAAAGGAAUUGACGGGG
rnacentral:rRNA from 1 species